GGUUCCGGGCCCACAAUCGACCACAAGUUUGGACCUAAUAUCGAGCUUCUCACGGGAGAUGGGAUCAUGCCCUUUGCUAUUGAACUACUAGCCAAAGACAUGAGCCCGGCUCAAGAGAACUCGGACAAGAUCUUAAGGGUUAUAACUGAGGUCACACGGGCCGUAGGGUCACAAGGGCUGUUAGAAGGCCAGUUUAGGGCUGUAGAAUGGACUCAAUCAGGCAAUGGAGAUGAGGAAAUGUUGGAAUAU
rnacentral:lncRNA from 1 species